rnacentral:rRNA from 1 species
AGUAUACGUUAGGCCGAACCUUGAAGAGGUAUUCGCACAUGACUGAGACCGUACAGACUCUACGGGAGCAGCAGGUAGGAUCCUCACAUGAUCGCAAGUCUGAUUGAGCCAACGCCGCCGUGAGUGAAAGAAAGGAUUCGACUCGUAAAGCUCUGUGUAAAGAAGAACGUGGGGUAAGAGUAACUGUUUACCCAGGGACGGUAUUAACCAGAAGGCCACGGCUAACUACGUGCAGCAGCCCGCGGUAUACGUAGGUGGCAAGCGUUAUCCGGGAUUUAUUUGGGCGUAAAGCGAGCGCAGGCGGUCUUUUAAGUCUAAUGUGAAAGCCUUCGGCUCAACCGAAGAAGUGCAUUGGAAACUGGGAGACUUGAGUGCAGAAGAGGACAGUGGAACUCCAUGUGUAGCGGUGAAAUGCGUAGAUAUAUGGAAGAACACCAGUGGCGAAGGCGGCUGUCUGGUCUGCAACUGACGCUGAGGCUCGAAAGCAUGGGUAGCGAACAGGAUUAGAUACCCUGGUAGUCCAUGCCGUAAACGAUGAUUACUAAGUGUUGGAGGGUUUCCGCCCUUCAGUGCUGCAGCUAACGCAUUAAGUAAUCCGCCUGGGGAGUACGACCGCAAGGUUGAAACUCAAAAGAAUUGACGGGGGCCCGCACAAGCGGUGGAGCAUGUGGUUUAAUUCGAAGCUACGCGAAGAACCUUACCAGGUCUUGACAUCUUCUGACAGUCUAAGAGAUUAGAGGUUCCCUUCGGGGACAGAAUGACAGGUGGUGCAUGGUUGUCGUCAGCUCGUGUCGUGAGAUGUUGGGUUAAGUCCCGCAACGAGCGCAACCCUUAUUACUAGUUGCCAGCAUUAAGUUGGGCACUCUAGUGAGACUGCCGGUGACAAACCGGAGGAAGGUGGGGACGACGUCAAAUCAUCAUGCCCCUUAUGACCUGGGCUACACACGUGCUACAAUGGAUGGUACAACGAGUCGCGAGACCGCGAGGUUAAGCUAAUCUCUUAAAACCAUUCUCAGUUCGGACUGUAGGCUGCAACUCGCCUACACGAAGUCGGAAUCGCUAGUAAUCGCGGAUCAGCAUGCCGCGGUGAAUACGUUCCCGGGCCUUGUACACACCGCCCGUCACACCAUGAGAGUUUGUAACACCCAAAGCCGGUGGGGUAACCUUAGGAGCUAGCCGUCUAACUUAUCCGUG